ACGAACGCUGGCGGCGUGCUUAACACAUGCAAGUCGAACGGUAAGGCCCUUCGGGGUACACGAGUGGCGAACGGGUGAGUAACACGUGGGUGAUCUGCCCUGCACUUCGGGAUAAGCCCGGGAAACUGGGUCUAAUACCGGAUAGUACUGCGCGGUGCAUGCCGUGUGGUGGAAAGAUUUAUCGGUGCAGGAUGGGCCCGCGGCCUAUCAGCUUGUUGGUGGGGUAAUGGCCUACCAAGGCGACGACGGGUAGCCGGCCUGGGAGGGCGACCGGCCACACUGGGACUGAGACACGGCCCAGACUCCUACGGGAGGCAGCAGUGGGGAAUAUUGCACAAUGGGCGCAAGCCUGAUGCAGCGACGCCGCGUGAGGGAUGACGGCCUUCGGGUUGUAAACCUCUUUCAGCAGGGACGAAGCGCAAGUGACGGUACCUGCAGAAGAAGCACCGGCCAACUACGU
rnacentral:rRNA from 1 species